UAGACGCUACGGACUUAAAAUCCGUUGGCUUUAUUGACCGUGAGGGUUCAAGUCCCUCUACCCCCA
rnacentral:tRNA from 1 species